GCCCGCUUGGCCAAGUGGUAAGGCGCUCCACUCGUAAUUUAUACUGAAAUGGAGCGAUCGUCGGUUCAAUCCCGACAGUGGGCA
rfam:Candida parapsilosis strain CDC317 annotated contig 005569